UCCUGUAGGGGAUUGUAUAAGGGAUCCCAAAUCCCCUAUGGAAAGCCCCAGGUCCCCUCUAGAGUGUCCCCCAUGGAAAACCCCCCAUGGAAAACCCCCCAUGGAAAACCCCCCAUGGAAAACCCCGAGUGGCUCCGGACGAAGCCCCGGAUCAGAGCCCAGGUCGAGGCCACCGAGGGACAAAAUUCGGAGCAAAAAACGGAAUUUUGAGGCUUUUUUUUUGGAGCCUUCUUUUGGCUUUUUUACCACUUUUUUUGCCUUUUUUCUUUUUUUUUUUCCCCUUUUUAUUUUUUAAAUUUUUUUUUCUUUUUCAAGGUUUUUUUUAUCUUUUGGGGACGAUUUUCCAUCUUUAAAUAAAAAUUCCUCAUGCCAGUGCGUUUCCUUCCUUUCAAUAAAUAUUUGGAAUUUAAAUUUA